UUAUCAGAAAGGCAAAUGCAAUUUUUAAGAUCAAAGUGGACAUAUCUUGGAAGCUACAUUUAUUACAAAAGGCUAAAGUGUCCACAUUCCUAGGAAUCAAAGGGAAUUAAAAGCCAGAAAAGCAGUAGUAUUCAAGAGACAAAUGCAAUCUUUGACGGAAAGCAUCUGCCGAAGUAGGUGACAGGAACAAGAGAGGAAGUCAAAGAAUUUGGAGGAGCCAAGAGGACUUUAAUGGCCAUAAAAAUCCACUCUCUGCUUUACUGAAAAAACUGAGACCAUCUCUCACACCACCAAAUUGCCAAAGCAUCAACACUUCUUAUGUGCUCUCCUGUUAGAUGGAAUGAACAAUCUGUCCACCCAUAUGAAGCCAUCCUUUGCAUUCAUGCAUGGAAUCCCAUCUUUUCUUUUCUGCUUAAGAACACAGCUGCAGUAGAGGACACAACCCACAACCACCAUUGAAGACUUCCUCUGAGGAAACCACUCAGAUCUUCCAAAUUCCACAUCUUAGAACCAACAAGGAAGCAUCCUUUCUGCUGCUUUCAAGUGAUUUUUCUUCCAGUCAUGCCUUCUCCAGCUCAGGCUGCUACAACCAGACACCAUUGAUUGGGUGGAUUAAACAGCAGGAGUUUAUUUCUCAAAGUUCUGGAGGCUGGAAAGUUCAAGAUCAAGUGGGCUAGCCAAUUCUAUUCCUGCUGUGGCUCUUCACUUGGCUUGCAGGUAGCUACUUUCUCACUGUGUUCUCACAUGGCAGAGAGAAAGUGCUGGUCUCUCUUCCUCUUCUUAUAAGGACACUAACCCCAUAAUGGGAAUUCCACACUUGUAAACUAAUCUAAAUCUAAUUACCUCUUAAAGGCCUCACCUCUAAUGCCAUCAUAUAGGGGGUUAGGGUUUCAUCAUAUGAAUUUUGGGAGGGCACAAACAUUCAGUCCAUAACAGAUCAUAAACCAGACCAAACUAAACAAGUCAUCUGGCAUCGAUACUCAGCUAUAUUAGGUCCUAUUUAUUUCCAUCACUGUUAUUUAUCACUUUAUGGGUUUCUCCUUCUUCUCAAUUGAGGAUUUUGGAGCCAGAAUAAUUUCAAAAUCUGCCUAGAUAAUCUUACAUCUUACAUCAUCUUACAACUUUGUUUCCUUAACUUAGAUAACCCUAACUUUCAUUGGGCUUCAGUCAUCUAUUCUCAGGACAGUACCUUGUGUCCUACCCUCACCCUAAACUGCCUCUUUCUGUUCCUUGACUUUCUACUUUCAUCCCAUUGUGUUCUCCAUUGUUUUCCCGCCCAAAGGUUCUCUCCUGGUCCUCUCUCCUUUUCUAUCCAACAUAAAUUCUAUGGUUUAAUAUCUGAACCAAAAUGAUGGAUUCUUUUGACUCUCACAUUUCCUCUAUACCCACUUGGCCAGACUUCAUCUCUGAAUCAUAUUAUUGUGUGUUGUGUUAUCCCUAAACUCAAGCAGCAAGGUUCAUGUUGAAGAAAAUACAAUAUCUGUGCAUAUGGGCAUCACUGCAAAUUGACAUGCUUCAAUCUCACUCAGAUGGGCCCUGGGAACCAGGAUUCAGCUCCCUUGUUUUUGGUGAGCACAUCUCCAGUUCCCUUUGAUGAAUCACCUUCACCUAUCCCCUUCAGCUUCUAUUCAGUUACUUCUCUUCACUCUGUAAGUCAAAGAUUUUGACUCAUGGUUUUCAGUGAAGUUUAAAUUAAUUUCAGCUUCUCAUUAGACUGUGAGCUUCUUGUUCAUUUUUAAAUCCUUCGUAAAGUGCAUGGCGUGUCUUAGACACUCAAUAAACAUUGAAUGAAUAAAUUUACCUUUUCCCUAUCCACAAAAUAAUUGCCAUGCACACUCAAAUCUAUUUAGCUUCAGAGGAUGUGUUUUACUGCCUUGUAGGACCAAUCUAUUUGCCUGUACCCUAGACUCUAGCUCUUGUUGGCUUCUUUGGGACCUGUUCCAUUAGUAUUGCUUCACUCAUAUAUAUUCAAAUUCUUCCUCUAUUGGCUGCUUUUCUUUAUCUAUAAACACUUUCAAGUCUGUCUAAUACUAGAUAAACUAAUGAAAAUAUUCCUUUAUAGGGGAUUAGGGCUCCAACAAAAUGAAUUUCUCUUUAGCUAAUACAAAAUGUUGUACUUUUGAUCAUCUCUAAAAUCAUUGCAAAGAUGAAUUUUACUCCCUCAAGUGCCAUGAUCUGGUUUCCACCUCUACCUCUGUUUGGAAUCUGCUAUUCAAUGAUCUCUAAUUGCUAAAGAAAACACACAUUUUAAAGUCCUUGCUUCACUGAACCUUACCACUUCUUCUGAAACUUCUUCCUUGGCUUUUAUGACUUUAUGUUUUAAAUCACUUCUCAGUUUCCAGAUAGGCUCCUCUUCAUCCUGUAAAUGCUGAUAUUCCCCCAGAGACCUUUUCUUGGUCCUCUAUUCUCACUCAUCUCCCUGGUGAUUUCACCUUUCCUCAAACUGUAUUGAGAACUUAAGUCUUCAAAUGACAUCAUGUUGCCUGCAGGAAGUAAGGCACAAAUAUGAGUUUUGCUUUAAAACACAAGACCAAAUGACCACUGGUUUUGAGAUGAUCUAUUUCAAGCAUUUCCUAGUGCUUUUGGCAUUUGGGGCUUGAUAAGCCUUUGUAAUGGGGCUGUUGUAAAUGCUUAGUAACACCACUGGUCUUUACUCAGUAGAUGCCAGCAGUAUGCCCAGUGUUGUGAUAACUAAAAUUGUCUCCAGAAAUUGUCAAAUGUCUCUUAUGGGGCAAAAUUGCCCUUGGUUGAGAACCACUGAUCAAUCUAGUGGCUAAUAACAAUGAAAAGAGGAAUGAUUAGUUAACUGUAUUGUAAGGUUCUUGAAAUGAGCUCUAAUUUCAAACUAAUCUGAUCAUGUUUUGAAUAAGAUCAUUAUGUCUUGAGAUCUGUACUUCUAACUCCUACCAUGUCCAUUGACUUUGCUACUUAGUAGAGUAAUUUGGCAAUGUUCCUGGAAAUUUGUUCCCCUCCGCCCCCUUUGUUCUGUUAUUUACUUUCUGUGGAAUAUAGGUUGAACAGCAGUAGCAAUGGUAGGAAACCUUAACAGCAACCUAGAAUGCAAGGUCUUUGUGGGGGAAGAAGUGGGGAUUAUUGACAGAUAACUAAUCAUGAAAGAAGGAAAAUGAAAUUUUUCUGAGGAACAAUUCAAACUGCAUCUAAUUCACUUUUUGGCAAGUUACUGAAACUUGCAAUAGCUUGGUCUCUUUAUGCACUAAAUUCAGCUAAUAUGAAAAUAGAAAUUACCUGAGUAAAAUUUUGAACUUUCAUUACUUUUCAUUUAUACUCUUUUUAUAUUAAGUAAAAUUUAAGUUUUUCCAUAUUAGCAGGCUGUCUGUAUCCACUGAGAAUGUGCCCUUCUAGAACACCUUGACAAAAGGACCUCUCUAUCUGUUUCAAGUUUGCUCUUUGGUUAAGCAGUCAUUGAGCAUAGG